AGAGUUUGAUCCUGGCUCAGAUUGAACGCUGGCGGCAUGCCUUACACAUGCAAGUCGAACGGCAGCACGGGAGCAAUCCUGGUGGCGAGUGGCGAACUGGUGAGUAAUACAUCGGAACGUGCCCAGUCGUGGGGGAUAACUACUCGAAAGAGUGGCUAAUACCGCAUACGACCUGAGGGUGAAAGCGGGGGAUCGCAAGACCUCGCGCGAUUGGAGCGGCCGAUGUCAGAUUAGCUAGUUGGUGGGGUAAAGGCCUACCAAGGCUACGAUCUGUAGUUGGUCUGAGAGGACGACCAGCCACACUGGGACUGAGACACGGCCCAGACUCCUACGGGAGGCAGCAGUGGGGAAUUUUGGACAAUGGGCGCAAGCCUGAUCCAGCAAUGCCGCGUGCAGGAAGAAGGCCUUCGGGUUGUAAACUGCUUUUGUCAGGGAAGAAAUCCUCUGGGUUAAUACCUCGGGGGGAUGACGGUACCUGAAGAAUAAGCACCGGCUAACUACGUGCCAGCAGCCGCGGUAAUACGUAGGGUGCGAGCGUUAAUCGGAAUUACUGGGCGUAAAGCGUGCGCAGGCGGCUUUGCAAGACUCAAGGUGAAAUCCCCGGGCUCAACCUGGGAACUGCCUUUGUGACUGCAAGGCUAGAGUACGGCAGAGGGAGAUGGAAUUCCGCGUGUACAGUGAAAUGCGUAAUAUGCGGAGGAACACCGAUGGCGAAGGCAAUCUCCUGGGCCUGUACUGACGCUCAUGCACGAAAGCGUGGGGAGCAAACAGGAUUAAUACCCUGGUAGUCCACGCCCUAAACAUGUCACUGGUUGUUGGACGGUUGCUGUCAACAACUAACCUUGACUUGACCGCCUGGGGGGAGUCGGCCCAAGGUGAAAUCAAAGGAAUUGACGGGGACCCGCCAAGCGGUGGAUGAUGUGGUUUAAUUGGAUGCAACGCGAAAAACCUUACCUACCCUUGACAUGCUAGGAAUCUUGCAGAGAUGUGAGAGUGCUCGAAAGAGAACCUAGACACAGGUGCUGCAUGGCCGUCGUCAGCUCGUGUCGUGAGAUGUUGGGUUAAGUCCCGCAACGAGCGCAACCCUUGUCAUUAGUUGCUACGAAAGGGCACUCUAAUGAGACUGCCGGUGACAAACCGGAGGAAGGUGGGGAUGACGUCAGGUCCUCAUGGCCCUUAUGGGUAGGGCUACACACGUCAUACAAUGGCCGGUACAGAGGGUUGCCAACCCGCGAGGGGGAGCUAAUCCCAGAAAACCGGUCGUAGUCCGGAUCGUAGUCUGCAACUCGACUGCGUGAAGUCGGAAUCGCUAGUAAUCGCGGAUCAGCUUGCCGCGGUGAAUACGUUCCCGGGUCUUGUGCACACCGCCCGUCACACCAUGGGAGCGGGUUCUGCCAGAGGUAGUUAGCCUAACCGCAAGGAGGGCGAUUACCACGGCAGGGUUCGUGACUGGGGUGAAGUCGUAACAAGGUAACCGUA
rnacentral:rRNA from 1 species